rnacentral:rRNA from 1 species
GAUGAACGCUGGCGGCGUGCCUAAUACAUGCAAGUCGAGCGAAUGGAUUAAGAGCUUGCUCUUAUGAAGUUAGCGGCGGACGGGUGAGUAACACGUGGGUAACCUGCCCAUAAGACUGGGAUAACUCCGGGAAACCGGGGCGAAUACCGGAUAACAUUUUGAACCGCAUGGUUCGAAAUUGAAAGGCGGCUUCGGCUGUCGCUUAUGGAAUGACUCGCGGCGCAUUAUGUAGUUGGUGAGGGAACGGCUCACCAAGGCAAAGAUGGGUAGCCGACCUGAGAGGGUGAUCGGCCACACUGGGACUGAGACACGGCCCAGACUCCUACGGGAGGCAGCAGUAGGGAAUCUUCCGCAAUGGACGAAAGUCUGACGGAGCAACGCCGCGUGAGUGAUGAAGGCUUUCGGGUCGUAAAACUCUGUUGUUAGGGAAGAACAAGUGCUAGUUGAAUAAGCUGGCACCUUGACGGUACCUAACCAGAAAGCCACGGCUAACUACGUGCCAGCCGCCGCAGUAA